rnacentral:lncRNA from 1 species
UGGUGUUGUGCUGUAUAAAAUUAAUCAUUAGGCCUAUGCCCUAAAUAGUGCAUGCAAGGUGUUUGUUAAAAUGCCUAAGUGAAGAAGAAUUGAGCACUUUGACCUAUUUGUGAUCUAAAUGAUGAUUCCAUGCCAUAUCCAUGUGCUUAAGUUAACUCCCAUGCUAAAGCUAUGCCUACCAUGUGUUUGAUAAUGUGCCUCAACGAAUAAAUGAUGAUCAAGUACCUAGUCUUCAUGCUCCAAGAUUUUGCCAUGUCUCUUAAGUUAUGCCAUGUCUACUUGAUCAA